AGCGUAAGCUAGUAAGACCCCUGAAAGACUAUCAGGUUGAUAGGUUGGAGGUGUAAGUACAGUAAUGUAUUCAGCUGACCAAUACUAAUAGGUCGAGGGCUUGAUCAAAUU
rnacentral:rRNA from 1 species